GGGAGCAACCCUUGCCUAGCAUGUCUGAGGAGGCAUGCCAUCCACCCACCUCUCACAAGGAGUCAGAGGACCUCCAAAGAAAGACUGUAUUUACAAGCUAUAGCUUUAGAGGUGACCUGCAAAUCCAGCUAGGUCCUGUCCGUAAUCCCAACCCCGGAGCAUGUGAACAGACUAAAACCCCUGAUGAAGUAACACUGGAUGUGAACGCCUCGUUCUCCAAAGGUUUCUUUCUAAAAUCUGGGAAAUUCUCUCUCCGUCCCUUCUCCUUCUCUCAGUCUCUCUCUGUGUGUCUGACUCUGUCUCUCUGUGUGCCUCUGUCCUUACUUCUCUGUCUCCCCACCCUCGCCUGCUCAGCUUGUUUGAGGGAAAGAAACCACACAAUGGAGGCUUUCCACACUCUACUCGAAAGAGGCCAGAGGUAGAAGCAGAUUCUUGCUGCAGCUCUGGUGCCAACAGCUGGCUUGGCAGAAAUGUUCACAGCCAGGUUUUCAGGUUCCAGUAACCACUAUGAAAAGGCUCUUGCAA
rnacentral:lncRNA from 1 species